rnacentral:rRNA from 1 species
UACGUAGGGGGCUAGCGUUGUCCGGAAUCAUAGGGCGUAAAGAGCGUGUAGGCGGCCCGGUAAGUCCGCUGUGAAAGUCGGGGGCUCAACCCUCGAAUGCCGGUGGAUACUGUCGGGCUAGAGUGCGGAAGAGGCGAGUGGAAUUCCUGGUGUAGCGGUGAAAUGCGCAGAUAUCAGGAGGAACACCGAUUGCGAAGGCAGCUCGCUGGGACGUAACUGACGCUGAGACGCGAAAGCGUGGGGAGCAAACAGG